rnacentral:snRNA from 1 species
AUCUUUGUGCAGUGGCAAUAUUGUAGCCGAUGAGGUUAAUCCGAGGUGCGAUUAUUGCUAAUUGAAAACUUUUCCCAAUACCCCGCCGUGACGACUUGAAAUUAACUUUGUUCAAUUAA